rnacentral:sRNA from 1 species
AGAAAAGUGAAAAAAUUUUGUUUUAUGUUCUAAUCAGCCCUACAAUUUUGAUAAUUUUUUAAGAAAAUGGCUUUUUUAAAGAAAUGUAUUUAAAUCUGGUGGUGGGUUGGUAAAUUUGCAAUUAUUUAUGAACUCAUUAAGUAUUAAGAAUGUUGUUUACCUGUCCUGGAAAUCUCAUUUAUACAGACCAAAAUCCACACCCUUAUCACAGCCCAGUGCCAAUGGAGUCCAGACGGAAGGACUUGACUAUGACAGGCUGAAGCAGGACAUUUUAGAUGAAAUGAGAAAAGAGUUAACUAAGCUAAAAGAAGAGCUCAUUGAUGCAAUCAGGCAGGAACUGAGCAAGUCAAAUACUGCAUAGAGGAACAGACUAAGGAGAGAUAGGACUUUAAUCUGGAGGAAAAAUAUCCUGCAAACAACAACUGUUCACAACAGCAAACCCCUACAUUUUAUGAGCUGUAAGAAGAAAAUGGAGACAAACAGAAGGAGGGAAAAACCAACCUACUCUGAAAGCCUUCAGACAUUAUGACUCUGGUGAUAAGCUCUUUCCCUCUCCGUUUGCUGCUUUUUUUCUGGCCUUUACAACAGAAUGGAAGAGAAUCAUUUAAGAGUUCCUGUAACAGUUAUGCAGAAAAUACUAAAACCCAUCAGGCAAGAUCACCACGCAUUGAAAUAUUUUCAUAUCAAGAUAAAGUCGCACAUUUUCCACAAUACA